rnacentral:rRNA from 1 species
AAUGAACGUUGGCGGCGUGGAUUAGGCAUGCAAGUCGAGCGAGAAGUGUAGCAAUACACGGAAAGCGGCGAAAGGGAUAGUAACACGUAGGUACCUACCCCCGGGCCUGGGAUAGCGGCGGGAAACUGCCAUUAAUACCAGAUAACGUCUCCGGACCAAAGGUGUGAUUCCGUCUGGGGAGGGGCCUGCGUCCUAUCAGCUAGUUGGUGAGGUAAUGGCCCACCAAGGCAUUGACGGGUAGCGGGUGUGAGAGCACGACCCGCAUCACUGGGACUGGGACACUGCCAAGACACCUACGGGUGGCUGCAGUCGAGAAUCUUCCGCAAUGGGCGCAAGCCUGACGGAGCGACGCCGCGUGCGGGAUGAAGGCCUUCGGGUUGUAAACCGCUGUCAGUGGGGAGGAAAUGCAUGGGGGUUCUCCCCCAUGUUUGACCGAUCCGCAGAGGAAGCACAGGCUAAGUUCGUGCCAGCAGCCGCCGUAACAC